rnacentral:rRNA from 1 species
GAUGAACGCUGGCGGCGUGCCUAAUACAUGCAAGUCGAGCGAACAGACGAGGAGCUUGCUCCUCUGACGUUAGCGGCGGACGGGUGAGUAACACGUGGAUAACCUACCUAUAAGACUGGGAUAACUUCGGGAAACCGGAGCUAAUACCGGAUAAUAUAUUGAACCGCAUGGUUCAAUAGUGAAAGACGGUUUUGCUGUCACUUAUAGAUGGAUCCGCGCCGCAUUAGCUAGUUGGUAAGGUAACGGCUUACCAAGGCGACGAUGCGUAGCCGACCUGAGAGGGUGAUCGGCUACACUGGAACUGAGACACGGUCCAGACUCCUACGGGAGGCAGCAGUAGGGAAUCUUCCGCAAUGGGCGAAAGCCUGACGGAGCAACGCCGCGUGAGUGAUGAAGGUCUUCGGAUCGUAAAACUCUGUUAUUAGGGAAGAACAAAUGUGUAAGUAACUAUGCACGUCUUGACGGUACCUAAUCAGAAAGCCACGGCUAACUACGUG